CAUUGCGAAAGCGAUGCUAAUACCGGAUGAUAUUCUAAUUACGUAGGUAGUUAGAAUCAAAGAUGGCCUCUUAACAAAGCUAUUGUCUGGGGAUGAGCCCGCGUACCAUUAGCUAGUUGGUAAGGUAAAAGCUUACCAAGGCAACGAUGGUUAGCUGGUCUGAGAGGAUGAUCAGCCACACUGGAACUGACACACGGUCCAGACUCCUACGGGAGGCAGCAGUGAGGAAUUUUGCGCAAUGGGGGAAACCCUGACGCAGCAACGCCGCGUGAGUGAUGAAGGUUUUCGGAUCGUAAAGCUCUGUCGAGUGGGAAGAAAGUGCGAGUGAUUAAUACUCAUUUGUACUGACGGUACCAUAGAAGGAAGCACCGGCUAACUCCGUGCCAGCAGCCGCGGUAAUACGGGGGGUGCAAGCGUUAUUCGGAAUUAUUGGGCGUAAAGAGCGCGUAGGCGGUUUAUUAAGUCAGAUGUGAAAGCCCGGGGCUUAACCCCGGAAGUGCAUUUGAAACUGGUAGGCUUGAGUAUGGGAGAGGGAAGUGGAAUUCCUGGUGUAGAGGUGAAAUUCGUAGAUAUCAGGAGGAACACCGGUGGCGAAGGCGACUUCCUGGACCAAUACUGACGCUGAGGCGCGAAGGCGUGGGUAGCAAACAGGAUUAGAUACCCUGGUAGUCCACGCAGUAAACGGUGAUCACUAGGUGUAGAGGGUGAAUCCUUCUGUGCCGGAGUUAACGCAUUAAGUGAUCCGCCUGGGGAGUACGACCGCAAGGUUAAAACUCAAAGGAAUUGACGGGGGCCCGCACAAGCGGUGGAGCAUGUGGUUUAAUUCGACGCAACGCGAAGAACCUUACCUGGGUUUGACAUCUAAGGAGUCCAUUUGAAAAAGUGGAGUGCCCUUCGGGGAGCCUUAAGACAGGUGCUGCAUGGCUGUCGUCAGCUCGUGUCGUGAGAUGUUGGGUUAAGUCCCGCAACGAGCGCAACCCCUAUCUUUAGUUGCCAGCAUUAAGUUGGGGACUCUAGAGAUACUGCCCCGGUUAACGGGGAGGAAGGUGGGGAUGACGUCAAGUCCUCAUGGCCUUUAUAUCCAGGGCUACACACGUGCUACAAUGGACUGUACAAAGGGCAGCGAGCCUGCGAGGGUGAGCGAAUCCCAUAAAGCAGUUCUCAGUUCGGAUUGGAGUCUGCAACUCGACUCCAUGAAGUUGGAAUCGCUAGUAAUCGUGGAUCAGCAUGCCACGGUGAAUAUGUUCCCGGGCCUUGUACACACCGCCCGUCACACCAUGAGAGUUGGUUGUACCAGAAGUUGUUGGGCCAACCCCUUUGGGGGAGGCAGGCACCUAAGGUAUGGCUGAUGAUUGGGGUGAAGUCGUAACAAGGUA
rnacentral:rRNA from 1 species